AUUGAGCGCUGGCGGCAUGCUUUACACAUGCAAGUCGAACGGUAACAGGCCUUCGGGCGCUGACGAGUGGCGAACGGGUGAGUAACGCAUCGGAACGUGCCCAGUCGUGGGGGAUAACGCAGCGAAAGCUGUGCUAAUACCGCAUACGAUCUGCGGAUGAAAGCGGGGGAUCGCAAGACCUCGCGCGAUUGGAGCGGCCGAUAUCAGAUUAGGUAGUUGGUAGGGUAAAGGCCUACCAAGCCAACGAUCUGUAGCUGGUCUGAGAGGACGACCAGCCACACUGGAACUGAGACACGGUCCAGACUCCUACGGGAGGCAGCAGUGGGGAAUUUUGGACAAUGGGCGAAAGCCUGAUCCAGCCAUUCCGCGUGCAGGAUGAAGGCCCUCGGGUUGUAAACUGCUUUUGUACAGAACGAAAAGGUCUCUAUUAAUACUAGGGGCUCAUGACGGUACUGUAAGAAUAAGCACCGGCUAACUACGUG
rnacentral:rRNA from 1 species